GACGAACCGCCCGAACGUUGUUCGGAUUCACUGGGCUUAAAGGGCGCGUAGGCGGGCGGCCCGGUCGGGGGGUGAAAUCUUUUACGCUCAACUGGAAAAGAGCUUCCGAUACCGGCCGUCUGGAGGGAGGUAGGGGCAUGCGGAACUUCCGGUGGAGCGGUGAAAUGCGUAGAGAUCGGAAGGAACGCCGGUGGCGAAAGCGGCGUGCUGGACCUCUUCUGACGCUGAUGCGCGAAAGCCAGGGGAGCGAACGGGG
rnacentral:rRNA from 1 species